rnacentral:rRNA from 1 species
UACGUAGGGGGCAAGCGUUGUCCGGAAUUAUUGGGCGUAAAGAGCUCGUAGGCGGUCUGUCGCGUCGAAUGUGAAAACCCGGGGCUCAACUCCGGGCUUGCAUUCGAUACGGGCAGGCUAGAGUUCGGUAGGGGAGUCUGGAAUUCCUGGUGUAGCGGUGAAAUGCGCAGAUAUCAGGAGGAACACCGGUGGCGAAGGCGGGACUCUGGGCCGAUACUGACGCUGAGGAGCGAAAGCGUGGGGAGCGAACAGG